rnacentral:misc_RNA from 1 species
UCCGGUUUAACACCGGCAGUCUCGUUAGAGUGCUUCCCGAUUACUCGGGAGUGGCAACAGGACACAAGGGUUGCGCUCGUUGCGGGACUUAACCCAACAUCUCACGACACGAGCUGACGACAGCCAUGCAGCACCUGUGUACGCUGGUAUUGCUACCUCGUCAGGCUUUCACCCUUCUACUACGUACAUGUCAAGGCCAGGUAAGGUUCUUCGCGUUGCAUCGAAUUGAGCCACAUACUCCACCGCUUGUGCAGGCCCCCGUCAAUUUCUUUGAGUUUUAAUCUUGCGACCGUACUUCCCAGGCGGCACGUUUAACGCGUUGGCUACGCCACAAAAGGGGUCGAUUCCUUUUACAGCAAACGUGCACCGUUUACGGCUAGGACUAC